rnacentral:rRNA from 1 species
AGAGUUUGAUCCUGGCUCAGGAUGAACGCUGGCGGCGUGCCUAAUACAUGCAAGUCGAACGCUUCACUUCGGUGAAGAGUGGCGAACGGGUGAGUAAUACAUAAGUAACCUGGCAUCUACAGGGGGAUAACUGAUGGAAACGUCAGCUAAGACCGCAUAGGUGUAGAGAUCGCAUGAACUCUAUAUGAAAAGUGCUACGGGACUGGUAGAUGAUGGACUUAUGGCGCAUUAACUUGUUGGUAGGGUAACGGCCUACCAAGGCGACGAUGCGUAGCCGACCUGAGAGGGUGACCGGCCACACUGGGACUGAGACACGGCCCAGACUCCUACGGGAGGCAGCAGUAGGGAAUUUUCGGCAAUGGGGGAAACCCUGACCGAGCAACGCCGCGUGAAGGAAGAAGUAAUUCGUUAUGUAAACUUCUGUCAUAGAGGAAGAACGGUGGAUAUAGGGAAUGAUAUCCAAGUGACGGUACUCUAUAAGAAAGCCACGGCUAACUACGUGCCAGCAGCCGCGGUAAUACGUAGGUGGCGAGCGUUAUCCGGAAUUAUUGGGCGUAAAGAGGGAGCAGGCGGCACUAAGGGUCUGUGGUGAAAGAUUGAAGCUUAACUUCGGUAAGCCAUGGAAACCGUAGAGCUAGAGUGUGUGAGAGGAUCGUGGAAUUCCAUGUGUAGCGGUGAAAUGCGUAGAUAUAUGGAGGAACACCAGUGGCGAAGGCGACGAUCUGGCGCAUAACUGACGCUCAGUCCCGAAAGCGUGGGGAGCAAAUAGGAUUAGAUACCCUAGUAGUCCACGCCGUAAACGAUGAGUAUUAAGUGUUGGGGUGUCAAAGCUCAGUGCUGCAGUUAACGCAAUAAGUUAUUCCGCCUGAGUAGUACGUUCGCAAGAAUGAAACUCAAAGGAAUUGACGGGGGCCCGCACAAGCGGUGGAGCAUGUGGUUUAAUUAGAAGCAACGCGAAGAACCUUACCAGGUCUUGACAUCGAUCUAAAGGCUCCAGAGAUGGAGAGAUAGCUAUAGAGAAGACAGGUGGUGCAUGGUUGUCGUCAGCUCGUGUCGUGAGAUGUUGGGUUAAGUCCCGCAACGAGCGCAACCCCUGUUGCCAGUUGCCAGCAUUAAGUUGGGGACUCUGGCGAGACUGCCGGUGACAAGCCGGAGGAAGGCGGGGAUGACGUCAAAUCAUCAUGCCCCUUAUGACCUGGGCUACACACGUGCUACAAUGGACAGAGCAGAGGGAAGCGAAGCCGCGAGGUGGAGCGAAACCCAUAAAACUGUUCUCAGUUCGGACUGCAGGCUGCAACUCGCCUGCACGAAGUCGGAAUUGCUAGUAAUCGUGGAUCAGCAUGCCACGGUGAAUACGUUCCCGGGCCUUGUACACACCGCCCGUCA